rnacentral:rRNA from 1 species
UCGAGGGGCAGCAUGGUCUUAGCUUGCUAAGGCUGAUGGCGACCGGCGCACGGGUGAGUAACACGUAUCCAACCUGCCGUCUACUCUUGGCCAGCCUUCUGAAAGGAAGAUUAAUCCAGGAUGGGAUCAUGAGUUCACAUGUCCGCAUGAUUAAAGGUAUUUUCCGGUAGACGAUGGGGAUGCGUUCCAUUAGAUAGUAGGCGGGGUAACGGCCCACCUAGUCAACGAUGGAUAGGGGUUCUGAGAGGAAGGUCCCCCACAUUGGAACUGAGACACGGUCCAAACUCCUACGGGAGGCAGCAGUGAGGAAUAUUGGUCAAUGGGCGAUGGCCUGAACCAGCCAAGUAGCGUGAAGGAUGACUGCCCUAUGGGUUGUAAACUUCUUUUAUAAAGGAAUAAAGUCGGGUAUGCAUACCCGUUUGCAUGUACUUUAUGAAUAAGGAUCGGCUAACUCCGUGCCAGCAGCCGCGGUAAUACGGAGGAUCCGAGCGUUAUCCGGAUUUAUUGGGUUUAAAGGGAGCGUAGAUGGAUGUUUAAGUCAGUUGUGAAAGUUUGCGGCUCAACCGUAAAAUUGCAGUUGAUACUGGAUGUCUUGAGUGCAGUUGAGGCAGGCGGAAUUCGUGGUGUAGCGGUGAAAUGCUUAGCUAUCACGAAGAACUCCGAUUGCGAAGGCAGCCUGCUAAGCUGCAACUGACA